UACUAGAGUAGCACUCGCAAUAUCAAUAAGCGGAGGAAAAGAAACUAACAAGGAUUCCCCUAGUAACGGCGAGUGAAGCGGGAAGAGCUCAAAUUUGAAAUCUUAAAGGGUUUCCCUUUACGAAUUGUAGUUUAAAGAAGUGUUUUCUGUUGAGGUUUUGGUAAAAGUUCUUUGGAAUAGGACAUCAUAGAGGGUGAGAAUCCCGUAUUUGACCUUUACUUUCAACUUUGUGAUACACUUUCAAAGAGUCGGAUUGUUUGGGAAUGCAGUCCAAAAUGGGUGGUAAAUUUCAUCUAAAGCUAAAUAUUGGCGAGAGACCGAUAGCGAACAAGUACCGUGAGUGAAAGAUGAAAAGAACUUUGAAAAGAGAGUUAAACAGUACGUGAAAUUGUCAAAAGGGAAGCGUUUGACACCAGUGUUGUUUUUCUGAAAAUCAAUUAAAGAACUGUUUAUGCUAAGUUGUUUAGACUUUAUCAGCUAACUGUUUAGUUUUGAGCUUUUCUUUAAUGCACUUUUCAGUUAACAAGUCAACAUCAAUUUCUUUUGCUGUAAAAAAGCUUGAGGAAGGUGGCUUGAGAUUCGUCUUAAGUGUUUAUAGCCUCUUGCCUAUGCAGUCGGAGAGAUUGAGGUCUGCAGCGUAGAUCCUUCGGGGCUAAAUGCAUUUGCGCUAAGUUAUAGCAUUUUAUAGACAACUUGUUGACUAUGAUUUGUCUUGUAGCUUACUCGCUUAUGUUAUUUUACCUACGCUUAGGAUGUUGAGCGCAUGUCUCUCUCUC
rnacentral:rRNA from 1 species